CCCGCUGAACUUAAGCAUAUCAAUAAGCGGAGGAAAAGAAACUAACAAGGAUUCCCCUAGUAACUGCGAGUGAAGCGGGAAAAGCUCAAAUUUAAAAUCUGGCAGUCUUUGGCUGUCCGAGUUGUAAUCUAGAGAAGUAUUAUCCGCGCUGGACCGUGUACAAGUCUCCUGGAAUGGAGCGUCAUAGAGGGUGAGAAUCCCGUCUUUGACACGGACUGCCAGGGCUUUGUGAUAUGCUCUCAAAGAGUCGAGUUGUUUGGGAAUGCAGCUCAAAAUGGGUGGUAAAUUCCAUCUAAAGCUAAAUAUUGGCGAGAGACCGAUAGCGAACAAGUACCGUGAGGGAAAGAUGAAAAGAACUUUGGAAAGAGAGUUAAACAGUACGUGAAAUUGCUGAAAGGGAAACGCUUGAAGUCAGUCGCGUUGGCCAGGGAUCAACCUUGCUUUUGCUUGGCUUACUUUCUGGUCGAUGGGUCAGCAUCAAUUUUGACCAGUGGAGAAGGGUCAGGGGAAUGUGGCAUCUUCGGAUGUGUUAUAGCCCUUGGUUGCAUACAUUGGUUGGGAUUGAGGAACUCAGCACGCCGCAAGGCCGGGUAACUAUUACCACGAUCGUGCUUAGGAUGCUGGCAUAGUGGCUUUAAUCGACCCGUCUUGAAACACGG
rnacentral:rRNA from 1 species